CAGGUUUCCACCGGAUGCAGCGUAAUCGCAGAUACAACGGAAAAAUCCAUUGGCUCAAGGGAACAACCCUAAUCAUCGUACGGCAGGAUGUGAAGAUUAUCAACCACGGUGAAAACGCGAUAGGUAUAUUCCCGCCGGAAGCCUUUUUUGGUCAGACAAACAUUGGCAAGUUCCAGUUGUUCUGGAUCUUUUUUCCAUCAAACCCAACCCAACGGUUUUCAAAUUCUGAUAAAUCGGGUUUAAAAUAAAAUCCAGAUACAAAUCGGAUACAUUUCUCGGCGGAUUGAUUAUGGGCAGAAUCAGCGUUAGUUCAGUAUUUUUUCGAAAAUGCAGUGCUGCAGUUUGGCAACCAACUUGCGCAUAAUUGUCAGCUGAUUCUAAUCAACAUGGAACUUGUCGUCGUAACAGGAGUUUAGCGAGAGAAAAUAACUAUCAGUCCAACAAUCCGGUAUGACAACGAACAAAAACGAACACAAAAAAUAAACAGAAUCCUGCUGGCAGUGCCCCGAAUGGGAGUUAUUUUAACCAAUUCCAUCGGAUGCGGCCAAGGGAUCGGUGGAAGUCAGAUUAAAAGAACGGCAUCGAGAAAUUCUUCUGUUG